rnacentral:rRNA from 1 species
UACAUGGGGUGCAAACGUUGCUCGGAAUUAUUGGGCGUAAAGGGCUCGUAGGUGGCCAACUAAGUCAGACGUGAAAUCCCUCGGCUUAACCGGGGAACUGCGUCUGAUACUGGAUGGCUUGAGUUCGGGAGAGGGAUGCGGAAUUCCAGGUGUAGCGGUGAAAUGCGUAGAUAUCUGGAGGAACACCGGUGGCGAAGGCGGCAUCCUGGACCGACACUGACGCUGAGGAGCGAAAGCCAGGGGAGCAAACGGG